rnacentral:rRNA from 1 species
UACAGAGGGGGCAAGCGUUGUUCGGAAUUACUGGGCGUAAAGGGCGCGUAGGCGGCCUUCUAAGUCGAACGUGAAAUCCCCGGGCUCAACCCGGAAACUGCCGUUGAUACUAUCUGUCUUGAAUGUAGUGGAGGUGAGCGGAAUAUGUCAUGUAGCGGUGAAAUGCUUAGAUAUGACAUAGAACACCAAUUGCGAAGGCAGCUCGCUACACUAUUAUUGACACUGAGGCACGAAAGCGUGGGGAUCAAACAGG